rnacentral:tRNA from 1 species
GCUACCAUGGCUUACUUGGUUAAAGCACCUGUCUAAUAAACAAGAGAUCCUGGGUUCAAAUCCCAGUGGCACCU